CAAAGACGGCGAAACGCUACGUGUGAACAACAGCGUUUCAGCAGCAGCUGGACUGGGAGGUCUCAGUGACGUCAUUUCAAAGGAAAACGGCCGGGUUGCGGUGGCAGCAGUCUUAGGACACUUCCUCCAGCUCCUCUGGGAUGAUGUCAAGGCCUGCCGAAAGACAUAUUCCCUCCAGCGUGUCGUGAGUCUUUCCCGAGGCCUCCUCCAAGUGGGACAUGCCUUGAACACCUUCCUAGUUAGGCAUCCAGGAGGCAUCCGAAACAGAUGCCCAAGCCACCUCAGCUGACUUCUCUCGAUGUGAAGGAGCAGCGGCUCUACUCCGAGCUCCACCAAAGCUCCUCUGACACCCCGCGAAGGAAACUAAUUUUGGCUGCUUGUAUCUGAGAUGUUUUGCUUUCUGUCAUAACCCAAAACUUAUGACCAAAUAGGUGAGAGUAGGAACGCAGAUUGACCAGUAAAUUCAGAGCCUUGC